UUAGAAUGCCAUGAGAAUGAUAACCUUGUAACUUGGUCAGGAUAGAAAUAUAGCAGCCAUAUCGAGAAGUAUUAUGUCUUGUGGUUUUUUUAUUAGA
rnacentral:SRP_RNA from 1 species